CGGGGGGAGCAAGCGUUGUUCGGAUUUACUGGGCGUAAAGGGCGCGUAGGCGGCCACCGCAAGUCGACUGCGAAAUCUCCGGGCUUAACCCGGAAAGGUCAGCCGAUACUGCGGGGCUAGAGUGCAGAAGGGGCAACUGGAAUUCUCGGUGUAGCGGUGAAAUGCGUAGAUAUCGAGAGGAACACCUGCGGCGAAGGCGGGUUGCUGGGCUGACACUGACGCUGAGGCGCGAAAGCUAGGGGAGCGAACGGGAUUAGAUACCCCGGUAGUCCUAGCCUUAAACGAUGAAUGCUUGGUGUCUGGGGUUUUAUAGUCCCCGGGUGCCGUCGCUAACGCUUUAAGCAUUCCGCCUGGGGAGUACGGUCGCAAGACUG
rnacentral:rRNA from 1 species